AAAAUCCUCACUCUAGACACGGUGAGUAACCUUACCAUCAUUUUAAUAAUCUAAAGUAUGUUUUUAUUCGGUCUUGGUGAAUUUUAUGAAAAUGAGUUCAAAUGGUAAAUUUUUAUGUUUUGUAAACAAAAUGAGUUUAAAUGAAAAUAUUUUAUAAAUUGUCUUGAAACGAAAUAACGAUUUUGAAAAUAGAGUAAUUGGAGACCACUGAUAUGUUGUAAAUUUAAAAUUGAACUAAUGGCUUAUGUUAUUGUAUUGGCAUGACUGGCUGGGCUGUGUUUUUUAUGAAUUAUAUGAAUUGCUUAUUUUUUUACCUUUGCAGGCUGGGUAGUAAUAUAUUAACCCUGUCAUGCUGUCUAAAAUUUUAUUGUAUGGUGGGUUUGACCUGCUGCAAUGGGCUGGGUUCUGUGGACUAGCCUAUUAGAGGGGCACGGAAUCCUGUUAUAUUUUUACCUCGGUUGGAGAGACGAGUAGGGUAACUCCCGAGGUAUAACUUUAAAGUUCACUUCACGCCAAACCACCACGUGAAGGGAAAUUCGGCCAACGCCAAGGAAUGGCUAUAUUUUCAAAAUAAAAACACGACUUUCUAAUAGCCUUGGCGGACUCAGUUGGGAUAGCCCUCGGCCAAGGUAUCCCAGAUAACUGAGUAUGAUAAUAAUUUUUGGCCUGAGCCAAGCUUUUUAAGAAAUUCAUAAGCCAUACUGAUUACUUGCUUUAAAUAAAUUGAUUUCAUUUGGUUGAAAUAAGUUGAAAGAUGAUAAAUUACAGUUUGAUGAAAUAUUUCAAUAGUCUCCUUUUACUCGACUUUAGAUAUUUUGAGUGAUGUUUGUUUACUCACUUGGAUUUUAUAAUCUCAUCACCCUCAUUUCGACCCAUUUCAGGCUCAGAAUAGAUUGUAGAUAACUGAUAUCGGCGAGGAUUACAGUUGAACUUGCCACAUCCAAAGAUUGUAGGUUCAUUUCUUUUGAUACUUUUGGUCAUUCGUGGGCCCACGUGUCACUGUAAAUUAAAUUCUAUACUUUGGUUAUCUGUAUUACGGUAUGUAAGAAUUUAUUUUUCUUUUACGCUAUAAAAAUUAUUUAU
rnacentral:lncRNA from 1 species